rnacentral:rRNA from 1 species
UACGGGGGGGGCAAGCGUUGUCCGGAAUCAUUGGGCGUAAAGCGCGUGUAGGCGGCUCGAUAAGUCUGCUGUGAAAGCCCAGGGCUCAACCCUGGGAUGCCGGUGGAUACUGUCGAGCUCGAGUCCGGAAGAGGCGAGUGGAAUUCCUGGUGUAGCGGUGAAAUGCGCAGAUAUCAGGAGGAACACCAAUGGCGAAGGCAGCUCGCUGGGACGUGACUGACGCUGAGACGCGAAAGCGUGGGGAGCAAACAGG